rnacentral:tRNA from 1 species
GCCUGGGUGGCUCAGUUGGUUGAGCGUCCGACUUCGGCUCAGGUCAUGAUCUCGCGGUUCGUGAGUUCAAGCCCCACGUCGGGCU